GGCAGAAGGCAUUCGAUAUGAAAUGAAUGGCCACAUCCGCGGAAAACGUUCCAGAGAGGGUUAACUCUUUCGCAGCUGAUCAAAUCGCACUUUCUAUGACAGGGAAUAUAUAAAGUGUCAAUUCGCUUUCUGCUGUAAUUUGGCUUUCUGGGUGGAACAAAUGCAGAUUGGAAGAAAUGGAGUUCAUGCUUGCAAGCAUCAAUUUCUUUAGCUUUGCGUGAAAUUUCAUCAGCUGUAUCAGUUUCUUUGGUUUGUUUUCUCAAGACUGAGUGAAAGUUUUCCACUGGAUACUCAUCGAAUGCAGAACAUCGAGAGAAUAAGAUCCCUGAUCAAUGUCCAUCCGCCAUAAAUGAUUUCAAGCAAUAGAGAUGUACGCCAUGGUUUUGGUUUCUUAGCCAGCUUUGCUUUUUUCCCAAAGAUGAAAGCAUAAAGGAUGUGCAACAAUUCCAAGAUUCCGUAGAGAUUCAAGCCCUUGUUUGCUGAUUCCAAACUGCUGCAGUGUCCUGGAUAGUGUGACUUGAAAUGAGUUGCAUUUUUGUGAUUACAUUGGAUCCAAUGUUAUGGCUUCUUGUAUGGAUGAAUAUAAUUUAUCAGCACCAACAUCUUUGCACAUAAUCUCAAACACAUCAGGAUCCAUUUCAGGCUCUGCCAAUUUUGUUAUGACAGAUUCUUGCCUGUUCAUCUCGUUUUUAGCAGAAGAUUCCAAUACCACAAGCUAAAUUACAAGUGUGCUUAAUUGACUUUUUUUUCUCUGAGGGCCAUACUAAUGGCCAUAAGGUCAUACCUGGCUUUUCACGUUGUUUUUCAACUCGUCGGCUUGUUGUUUAGGAAGCAAUCGCGUAAAUUUCCUUUUCGUGAAGCAUUUGUGCAGGCAUGUUGCACAUAGAUUCUGGAUUCCAUAAGACGAUUUUUCGCCAAGUUCUUCCUUAACAUAUUGCUCAAAAACUACUGAAAUUACAAGCAGGCCACGAUUUCUUAGAUUUAAAACCUUUUCUCCUUCACGCCCCGACCAUUUUUUAUGAAACGGAUUGUUGCAUUGCUUUUUAAAUUUUGGCAUUUUGACAGACUUUAUUCACUUUAACAAUUUGUAGUAUCCUUUUUGCAUACGCUGAGAAAAAAGAAACAUUUUCGGAAAAAGCGCGCGAUUUUCCCCGCUGUAUACGAUAUAAUAUUCAUAAUAUUUUAAAAAGUAAGCAAAGCAAUAUUUGUUAGUUAUAAUGUAAAUAUACACUCUUUGUCAUAUAUUAUUUAGUUAACGUCUUGGUAACCAUUAUUUUUUAGAGAAAUCAGUUUGUAAACAAUGCAAUUUCUGUAGAGUCUAGAGACAGGACUGGUGAUCUACACUGGUCAUGCCGUGACAAUUCAAACAUAAAUAAUUUUCGCUCCAGGACGAUUCUGGAAAAAUCCGACGACAAAAUUGUAGAAAAGGAAUUGCUUUAUCAGAUUCUAGUGUUUUAAGAUUGAAAAACUAAAUAUUGACUGCUGCAGAAGGCUUAGAACAGGGUGUUAUGAUUUCACUCCUUCUGUUUACAUUUUGCAAAUUCCACGUAAUCUGAUUGGUCUAGAGACCAAAAUGUCAACAAACGCCCUGAUUGGUCAACAUUUUUCCC
rnacentral:lncRNA from 1 species